UACGUAGGCACCAAGCGUUGUCCGGAUUUAUUGGGCGUAAAGAGCUCGUAGGCGGUUCGGUAAGUCGGGUGUGAAAACUCUGGGCUCAACCCAGAGAGGCCACCCGAUACUGCCGUGACUGGAGUGCGGUAGGGGAGUGGGGAAUUCCUGGUGUAGCGGUGAAAUGCGCAGAUAUCAGGAGGAACACCAGUGGCGAAGGCGCCACUCUGGGCCGUAACUGACGCUGAGGAGCGAAAAGCGUGGGUAGCAAACAGG
rnacentral:rRNA from 1 species